AGACAUCUGGGAUCGUCCUGUUUCAGCCCAUCAUCGGCCACGACCAUGUCAGCUAGACUACAGCACUGGAGUGCCACGUCCAAUUUUUUCCUUAAACACCCCCAGGGACGGUGACUCUACCACCCGCCCGGGCCAUGAACUUGUCAAAGCAAGCUGCCACCCUCACAGCAGCAGCGAAUUCUUCUGGAGGCCAUUGGGAUCUACAGUUUCAGCCUUCCCCAGACAACCUGUGCCCAGGUAAUGCUCCCAAAGUCCCACACCGUCCCACGCCAUUGAACUCCCCUGCAUAAGACACAGAGCACACCGUUCCUUGUUUCAGGCCAAGUACAAGGUUCUCAAGCUACAUGAACAGAACCCUUAACUUUCAAGCAUUGAAUUGAGCGUUUCUGCUCCACUUGAAUGGAUGCAAUGUCUGUGAGACCUCUAUUUCCCAUCAGGUUUGGCUGAAGUUGAAAAACAGGAUCAAAGACAAUAGGAUGAGCAAACAGAGGAACAGGCAGCAUACAUAAGCCUUGUUUUCCUAAGAAGCCAACUAAAACUAUUAAAAGUCUUUUGAAGGCUU